rnacentral:rRNA from 3 species
GGACUACUCGGGUAUCUAAUCCCGUUUGCUCCCCUGGCUUUCGCGCCUCAGCGUCAGUAGGGACCCAGCGGACCGCUUUCGCCACCGGCGUUCCUUCCGAUAUCAACGCAUUUCACCGCUCCACCGGAAGUUCCGUCCGCCCCUAUCCCCCUCCAGCCCCGCAGUAUCCCGGGCCCUUUUCCGGUUAAGCCGAAAGAUUUCACCCGAGACUGGCGGAGCCGCCUACGCGCCCUUUAAGCCCAGUGAUUCCGAACAACGUUCGCUCGGUUCGUCUUACCGCGGCUGCUGGCAC